GCAUUGCUGAGGAGUCCCAUGAUGGGACGAAACAGCCGUUCAAUGC
rnacentral:hammerhead_ribozyme from 1 species